UUCGUAGAUUAUUAACAUACUUUCGAGAGAUCCACAAAUCAAUAGAACAUUGUGUAUAUAUAUAAAAUCAUUCAUAUAAAUCAUAAGGCUGAAAUACAUCAAUAAACAUGUUUAUCAUCUCGCAAGCCAUUUAUACAAGGAUAUAAAAGGUCAUGUCAUGUCAUUUGCACAUAUCAUGCUUUUAAAUUAAAUCAUAACAUGCCAAACAUAUCAUACAGGCAUACACGUGAUACAAUAACAGGCCAUUAAAGUUACACUCGUGCACACAUAAUACGUGGACAUAAUUCACUAGGUGAAAAAUGAAUAUUGACACCGACCUAAGGCCACCGAUUUUUAAAAAACCGGUGGGAAAAAUAUGGAGAAAAAUGGGCGGCAUUUUAAGAGUGGGGUAUUCCCACCAAGUCAAACCGAACCGGUGGAAAAAACAUUAUUCCCACCGAUUUUGAACCGGUGGUAAAGUUUUUUUUUUUAAAAAAAAAAAAACAAAACGUGCCUCUCAUUUCUCCUCUCGAUCCCUUUAUAAACCCUAACCCUAGUCUUCUCUCUCCGCUUUCGCCUCUCCUCCUCUCUCCUGCUCUUAGCUCCUUCGUUCUCCUUAUCUCUCCUUCAUUCUCCUCGUUUUCUACUUCAUCUUCUUGGAUUUUCUUCGUCGUCUUCGUCUUCUUCUUCGAUUUCCCCAAAAUUGAGGCUCAAAUAUCGUCGGAAAUGCAAGCGAUUUUGUUUAUUCAAUCUCGUCGAUCUCUUUCUUUCCCCUUAAAUUCCACCGACAUCAGCAACAAUUUUUGGGUUUAAUUAUUCGAGGUAUCAGUUUGUGGCUUUUUUGGUUAUUAUGUUGUAAUUUUUUUUGGUUUUUAUGUUGUAAUUUUUUUUGGUGCAAUUUUUAUGUUGUAAUUUGAGUUUGUGAAUUAUUUUGGUUUUUUUGUUGUAAUUGUUUUUUUGUUAUUAUACAAUAACAAUUAAAUGGUAAUCAUAUUUCAGAGUAUAACAUAUUUCGUUUGA